rnacentral:rRNA from 1 species
GAUGAACGCUGGCGGCGUGCCUAAUACAUGCAAGUCGAGCGAACAGAUGAGGAGCUUGCUCCUCUGACGUUAGCGGCGGACGGGUGAGUAACACGUGGAUAACCUACCUAUAAGACUGGGAUAACUUCGGGAAACCGGAGCUAAUACCGGAUAAUAUAUUGAACCGCAUGGUUCAAUAGUGAAAGACGGUUUUGCUGUCACUUAUAGAUGGAUCCGCGCCGCAUUAGCUAGUUGGUAAGGUAACGGCUUACCAAGGCGACGAUGCGUAGUCGACCUGAGAGGGUGAUCGGCCACACUGGAACUGAGACACGGUCCAGACUCCUACGGGAGGCAGCAGUAGGGAAUCUUCCGCAAUGGGCGAAAGCCUGACGGAGCAACGCCGCGUGAGUGAUGAAGGUCUUCGGAUCGUAAAACUCUGUUAUUAGGGAAGAACAAAUGUGUAAGUAACUAUGCACGUCUUGACGGUACCUAAUCAGAAAGCCACGGCUAACUACGUG